rnacentral:lncRNA from 1 species
AAGUUUUGUACAUUUCAUAUAACGAAAAUACCCAAAAAGAUUUUUUCUUUCAUAAUUGUUGGUGUCUGUUUUAUGAGAAGUGUCAAAUUGAAAAACUCAAAAAGAUUUUAUUGACAUCUUUCAUCGUCUGUUUGUAAUCGCGUCUCUCAGGUCAAGUCUUAGUCUGUUCUUUAAUCCUUAAUUGUCCAAUCUGGACGAACUACGCAUACCUGAUUCCCGUCCCCACGCGUAGGCAACCCUCGGUGGGUCCGGUAAUCUUUAUUUUUGGCCUUUGUCUUAGUCUUAGCCUAGGUUUAUCUCCCCGUAAGCUAGUGUUGUUAGUUGUCCUAGACAAGUAGGCUGAUUUUAUUCAGUGGUACUGUUCGGCGAUUUUGAGUCAUAAAGUGGCAUGUCCCUUCGACAUGUCCGCAUCAGAGUCUAAUGGGUUGGGAAUUUUUGCUCCUAUCAAAUUUUUGAGGUAACGUCUUAUGCGUUAUUACAGGAUGGAUCUGUCCACAAAGUCUAGAGUCCUUAUGGCUGUCAAUGUACCCAGAAAGUUGAUCAAGUGGUGGGGCACAUUCAAUUACUCUGAAAAGCACGAAGUGAGGAAAGUUUUAGGCAAUCUGGUAGUGCUUCUUGAUCUCACGCCCCGUCCAGAUCUAAUAGAGGCCGUGUUGACUUUUUUGAAUCCAAAUAAUUUGGUGUUUAGGUUCAUAAGUUGUGAAUUGACUCCCACUCUGGCCGAAAUAUCUUGUUUGUUUCGACUUCCUUAUAUGGAUCAACGGAUGAUUUUAGCCCAAAAUCAUACAAGCAAGAGAUUUCUUCGACUUUGUGGGUUAAAAGAUAACAAGAAUUUAGGGUGCCUCAAACAAUCAUGGAUUUCCUUCGACUAUUUGUUUGCUAGAUUUGGGUCCUCGAAAAGUUUUGACUACUUUUGAGAUGAAUUUUGUACUACUAAGAAGAAGUGGGAACAACGUCAUCUCGAGGUUUUCUGUUUGGAUCUACUGGGUAUCUUAGUGUUCCCGUUAGAUGAGAGGCAUAUCAAUACCUGCUUACAAUCAGUGGUGAUGGCUUAGUCAAGAAAAAGGAGCAAGUUACCAUUGUACCAAUGAUCUUAACUAAAAUAUAUAAGGCUUUGACUGAGGUGAAAGAAGGGAUUCAAUUUUUUGAGGGGAGUAACUUAAUAUUACAGUUGUGGAUGAUAGAGAAUUUUCAUGCACCUUCUUUAGUUAAAGCAGAUGUGGUUGAUCGUUGUAUGAAUGAUCGGGUGUAUGCCAUGUAGGAGAGAAUGCGUUUUGAUAAAUGUUCUUUACCUGUGGGAUUCAAUGCUUGGGUUGAAUUUCUCGAAGCAAGAACACAUGACAUUAUCCUUUGGACCUAUCGAUGGCUCAAUCCUAAGGUAAUUUUUUGUGGAUGUCGCAUGCAACCUCUUCUAGUUAUGAUAGGACUCAAAUGCACUAGGCCUUACAGUCCAAGUAGGGUAAUGCGUCAGUUGGGUAGGGAGCAAGAUAUCCCACCGAUAUUGAACCUUCAAAAAGAUAUCGAGUACUUUAAGGAUAUAGCCAAAGAGGAAAUCAAGUACGAGCAAUUUUGUCUUAAUGCAACAAAAAUGGGUGUAAAUUCUUUCAAAAUAGGUCUGGACAAUCCGGGGUACACUCAAAGAUAUGGAGUCUAGCUUCAAUCCAUACCUCGGGGUGUCAGUAGGCCACUACUAAUGUAGCUUAGAGGGAGAGUGCAGGAAGAAUGCAUAGUUAAUGACCGUCAGGGUGAAGAUGCGGGGGCCAAAGUGGAAGAAUUGAGAGUCCAAUUAUCAAGUUUGCUCGCAACUAUGGAAGGAUAUCAGAAUAGUCUUUACGGAUGUACUCGUACACGGGAUAGAGGCUUUCUCCCCAAUAUCAAAGUAUCAUUGCAAGGUAUGUUGCAUGAUUUGAGCAAGAAAGAGGGAACUUCACAGGCAGGUCCAUCUCAGCCAGGGUCAUCCCACAUCGGACCAAUUUAAAGGAGCAACCCUCAUCUUUUAUUUAGUUUGAGUCCUUUAUUUUUAUGUCAUUGUGUUGUUGUGUUUUUGUUCAGUGGGUGUCAUGUUUUUUUUAAACGUUAGGGGUCUUUACUAGUAGUAUUACGCAUGUUAUCCUAUGGGUCUAGAAUGUUGUUUAGUCUUUGUUGAUCAGUUUUAAGUUGUCUUAAAUUCGAAGUUUGUUUUAGUUGUCUUUUUAUGAAAUGUUGUGGCGUUGCGUUGUUCUUUCUUUUGUUUAUUUUUCGUCAAAAAAAAAAAGCUUCAACUUUGUGAUAGUUAUGCAUGCACUUUCCAAACUACGCAAGAUUUGAUUCAUGUACAACAUGAUACGUAGGCAACCUACUUUUGGGUUCGAUCUAAUCAUUUUGUUUCUUGGUUUUUUUCAUUAUUUUUCUUUUAUUUUAAGGAAAAACAAAAGCCAUAAAAAAUGAUAAAAAGAGAGACAGCGAGAGAGGAAAAGAAAGAAAAAUAAUGAGAGAAGGGAAAAAAGGAUAAAAAAGGGACUGAAGCGAGAGAUGAGAGAAGUGAUCAUGAAAAAAAAGAGGUGUGAUUGGAGUAAAGAAGCAACUGGGUGUAGGAAAAAGAUCGGGAUGAUGUUAAAAUGACCUUGCUACCCUCAAAGGUUGGUAGAAAUACGCAUGAAUCUAGGACAAUUUUACAAAUGUGAUUCCCAUGCUUGUUGUGUGACCUAAUCCUAACGGGCUUUUUCUUUGAUAUUCAUGUUCUUUCAGAUAAGUGGUUGGUUUGAAGCACUCUGGCUAGUCACCUGUACUUCACUAAAUCAAAAGCGAAGCUUGCCAUGGCUAGUAGGGAGAUUGAAAAUUCACUCAUGGACCUAGAUCAGGAUCCCAGGGAAGAAAGUUCAGUACGCAAUGAUGAGGUAUUGAGAAUUAGACAACAAUUUCUAGACCUGCACCGAGCAUGGUCUAGUAGCAUGCCUCCUCCUCCACUCCUCGAAGAUCUUGGGAAUAUCCCCAAUUGCCCACCUCUCUCUCAGGCAUAAUUCUCUAUUCCCAUUGAGUCACCGGAGCAUGCACCGGGAUUCACUCCGCGGCAAUAUUACCCUGGCACUUUUAGUUUGCCCUUGGCAGUUCCUCAACCAAGGCCCGUGACUCAGCUAGUGCCACCGGCAGCACCUGUGUUCGUGGAUCUGCCACCACCUGAAGCUUCCACAUAUGUUGUGCGUCCGACAAUAGUGCUUCCUCGGUCUGCCAGUGAGAUAGUAUUGAAAGUUUCAGAUAGUCAGUAUUAUGCCACGGAGUCUACUUUGAGAAUGAAUGAACCGUAUGGGUAUGUUUAGCCACCUGCAUUUCUAUUUGAUACAGAGAAACCUGUCGCAACAUAGGAACAGGAGGUCAUAGCGCGGAAAUUGAAAAGUUUGGAACAGGCCAUGAGGAAUCUGCAGGAAACUAAAGGUUAUAAGAGUGUUUCCUAUAAAGAUAUUUGCAUGUUCCCAGACGUCAACCUUCCCCGCGGUUUUAAAAUGCCCAAGUUCGAGAAGUAUGCUGGGAACGGUGAUCCCGUGGAACACUUGAGAUGUUAUUGCAACUAAUUGAGGGAUGAAGGGGGAAGGGAAGAGUUACUUAUGGCUUUCUUUGGCGAGAGUCUUUCCGAUAUGGCUUCAGAAUGGUUUGUCAAUCAAGAUAUUGACAAGUGGAACAACUGGGAUGACUUAGCUUCCGAGUUUGUGAAACAUUUUCAGUAUAACAUCGACUUGAUUCCUGAUGAAAAAUCCUUGGUCAACAUGAAGAAUAAAAGCACUGAAGGCUUUAGGGAAUAUGCAAUAAGGUGGCGUAAAUAGGCUGCCAGGGUGAAGCCUCCAAUGAAGGAGAGUAAGAUGGUAGAGGUCUUCAUUCAGGCACAGGAUGAGACCUAUUUUCAACAUUUACUUCCGGCAAUGGGAAAGUCUUUUAUUAAAGUCCUCAAAAUGGGAGAGAUGAUAGAGGACGGAAUCAAGACUGGCCNNNNNNNNNNNNNNNNNNNNNNNNNNNNNNNNNNNNNNNNNNNNNNNNNNNNNNNNNNNNNNNNNNNNNNNNNNNNNNNNNNNNNNNNNNNNNNNNNNNNNNNNNNNNNNNNNNNNNNNNNNNNNNNNNNNNNNNNNNNNNNNNNNNNNNNNNNNNNNNNNNNNNNNNNNNNNNNNNNNNNNNNNNNNNNNNNNNNNNNNNNNNNNNNNNNNNNNNNNNNNNNNNNNNNNNNNNNNNNNNNNNNNNNNNNNNNNNNNNNNNNNNNNNNNNNNNNNNNNNNNNNNNNNNNNNNNNNNNNNNNNNNNNNNNNNNNNNNNNNNNNNNNNNNNNNNNNNNNNNNNNNNNNNNUGGUAGAGGUCUUCAUUCAGGCACAGGAUGAGACCUAUUUUCAACAUUUACUUCCGGCAAUGGGAAAGUCUUUUAUUAAAGUCCUCAAAAUGGGAGAGAUGAUAGAGGACGGAAUCAAGACUGGCCUAAUAGUGAGUUUUGCCGCAUUGAAAGCCACCACACCAGUGAUUAAAGGUGGAUCUAGCACGUUCGGAGGUAAAAAGAAGAAAGAGGACGUGGUGACCGUUGUUGCUGGACCCCAUUCCUAUCCUAAAAGACCGCCUUACCCCUAUCCUCAAUCCCAAGUCCAAGCCUAUGUCCAAGCUCCAUAUAUUCCUCCCCACCAUUACUACCCUCCGUAAAACCCACCAUAUUCAAUUCCACCCCCUCCUUACCCAGUAUAUAGCGCAUAACCAUAUGCCCAAACCCUUUCUUACCCGUAAUGGCAUGUGCAAGCUCCACAAAGUUGUCCAUCAGCUCCACCAAAUUACUAAAACCCCUCCAAACCCGAUUUCCAACCCAAGCCCAAGUACAAGAAAAAGAAGGCGGUCAAAAAUCAGUUCACACCUCUUGGGGAGUCAUAUGCUAGCUUGUUUGAUAGGUUGAGAAAGAUAAAGGUCUUAAGCCCAAUUCAAGAAAGUCUUUCAAAUCCACCUCCGAGGAAUCUUGAUUAUUCUUUAAGGUGUGCAAAUUGUUUUGAUAUGCUAGGCCACGAUAUCAAGAAAUGUUGGUAUUUAAAGAGAUCUAUCCAAGAUUUAAUUAACACAAAUCAUAUGUUGGUCCAGGCCCCGGAGGUUCCAAACAUUAACCAGAAUCCACUGCCAACCUAUGCUAAAACCAAUAUGUUAGAAUUGAUAUAUGGUAGGAAAGAGUCAUCAAGGUGUUAUAAGCUUAUUGUCAAGAUACAGGCCAAUGAGGGAAAAUAGGUGAAUGUAGCAGAUUCAUUGAAUGCAAUGUCAUUAACCUAGGAAGGAAUGGGAAAAGCUAAAGUCCAAGAAAGUACAAAGAAACCCGUGAUCAUAGUGAAAAGAGUUGGAGCAGUCGUUGGUUUAAGCCAGGAUAAACCUAAGUUGACAGUGAUAGGAGCUCUGGGUAAGCCUAUCUUAACGGUAAAAGGAGCACUGGCAGCGCCUAUUAUUCUCAAACCGGUGACCCAAACUCUGAUAGUUGAUACAAAAAAGGUUCCUUGGAACUAUAAGCGGACUGUGAUGACCUAUCAGGGAAAGAAAGUAGUGGAAGAUCUAGAUGUGGUAAGGGGUUUGACUCGGUCAGGAAGAUGCUUCGUGCCUGAAAGUUUAAGAAAGUCCAAGCCAAUUGUGAGUGGACCUUCAUCUAUCAAAAAGCCUGUUACCGUAGAAGAAGCCAAGGAAUUUUUGAAAAAGAUGAGGUUUCCAGAGUAUUCAAUAAUAGAUCAGUUGAAGAAAACCCCUGCUCAAAUUUCUCUCUUAUCUUUGUUGUUGCAUUUCAAGGAACAUCGUGAUAUUAUAUUGAAGGUAUUAAAUGAAGCAUAUAUUCCUAGGGAUAUUACAGUAAAUCAACUUGAGAAAAUGGUUGGAAAAAUCUUUGAGGUCAAUCAGAUCAGCUUCUCUGACGAUGAAUUACCUGUUAAAGGUACGGGGCAUAACUGGGGUUUUUACAUUAUGGUGAAGUACAAAGAUUUCUACGUCACUCAUGUCAUGAUUUAUGGAGGUUCAGGUGUAAAUAUCUACCCUAUUUCUACUUUGCAAAAUUUAAAUAUUGGUGUUGAGAGGAUCAGGCCCAACAAUGUAUAUGUCAGGGCUUUCGAUGGUGCAAAAUCAAACUCCAUUGGUGAAAUAGAACUAAUGUUGAUUAUAGGGCCUGUUGAGUUCACCAUAGAGUUUCAAGUAUUGAAUAUAGACUCCUCUUACAAUAUGUUGUUGGGAAGACCGUGGAUCCACAAGGCCAAGGCAGUUGCAUCUACAUUGCACCAAAUGAUCAAGUUUGAGCAUGACAGGCAAGAAGUGGUUAUUCAUGGUGAAGGGGAUUUGUCUGCCUACGAAGAUUCUCCCUUUUCCUUAUUGAAGCAAACAAUGUAGAGGAGACAUUUUUCUAUCAAACUUUUGAUACAGUGUCGGUGAAUCGUAUCAUUGAAGGGCAGCUUAUUCCAGGGCCACAAUUGUCUCCUGCUUCUGUCAUGAUGAUAAAUUAAAUAUUAAAAUGUGGAUUCAAUAUAGGAAGGGGUUUAGGAGUGUCUAUGUAUGGUUAGUCCCAUAUGUCUGAAUAAUAACAUGGGAGCUUUUGGUUUGGGAUUUUAACCUACGGCUGAAGAUCUGAAGAAGGCCAAGAGAAGGAAAAAGGAAACAUGGUCACUCCCUUGCCCAGUGCCCCUACUUAGUAGGUCAUUCAUCAAGAGCAGUGUCGGGGCACCUAUAGAGUUUGGAGCUGAAUUGGUUGAUGACUUCCAGAACCUAUUGAUCAAAGUUGACAUGGUUAAAGUAGGGGAAGGUACCAGUAAGGUAGACAUGCAAUUCAUAGGUCCAGCUUUCCCGCUCAACAAUUGGAAAGUCACUCCUCUCCCCGUCAGGAGGGAUUUUUGGUAGUUUAUUUUGUUUUUCUUUCUGUUUAACAGAGUUAUUUUAGGGUUGUAAUUUGGAUUUUAGUUUGUUUAUGUUAUGUUGUCAUUUGUGUUUAAACCCUUCUAUCUUUCCCUUUGAAUGAAAUGCAAUGUCCCCUUAUUUUGUGUCUAAUAUAUUUUGAUUUUGUAUUUUUCUUUAUAUAGUUCUCUUUAUGUUGAUUCUAAUGACAUGACAUACAUGCAGAAUUUUCUGCCUGAUCUUAAAAUCUAAACUAAUCAAGAUAUAAUAAAGCAAGAAGGGGAGUAUGAUGAAGAAGAGGCACUAGAGGAAAUGAGCAAAGAGUUGGAACAGUUUGAAGACAAGCUGAAUCCUAAUUUGAAUGAAACUGAGCCAAUCAAUCUAGGGAAUCAAGAAGAUGUUAGGGAAACUAAAAUCAGUGUACAUGCUUUUCCGCAGCUAAAAUAUGGAAUGAUUCAAGCAUUAAUUGAUUAUAAAGAUGUUUUUGCAUGGUCUUAUGAUGAUAUGCCUAGUUUAAGCACUGAAUUAGUGGCUCAUAAAUUGCAAACUGAUCCCACAUUCCCCUCUGUGAAACAGAAUUUAAGGAAAUUUAAAACUGAUGUAAGUAUCAAAAUCAAAGAGAAAAUCACGAAACAACUUGAAGCCAAAGUCAUUCAAGUGGCUUGUUAUCCUAUGUGGUUAUCCAAUGUUGUUCCUGUCCCAAAGAAAGAUGGCAAAAUUCGAGUAUGCGUUGAUUACCAUAAUUUGAAUAGAGCAAAUCCGAAGGAUGAUUUUUCGUUGCCGAACAUCCACAUUUUACUGGACAAUUAUGCUAAACACGAGGUUGCCUCUUUUGUGGAUUGCUAUGCCGGAUACCACCAGAUCAUUAUGGAUGAUGAAAAUACAGAAAAGACAUCUUUUAUCACACCAUGAGGGACUUAUUUCUAUCAAGUGAUGCCAUUUGGUUUGAAGAAUGCUGGAGCAACAUACAUGAGAGCCAUAACCACUAUGUUUCAUGAUAUGAUGCAUAAGGAGAUUGAGGUCUAUAUAGAUGAUGUGAUUAUUAAAUCGAAGAAUCAGGAUGAUCAUGUUAAAGAUCUAAGGAAAUUCUUUGAAAGGCUUCGCAGGUAUAAUGUCAAACUCAACCUAACAAAAUAUGUAUUUGGAGUUUCGUCUGGAAAGCUGUUGGAGUUUGUAGUCAGCCGUUGGGGAAUUGAAGUGGAUCCUUCGAAAAUCAAUGCGAUCCAGGAUUUGCCUCCGCCCAAGAAUAGGACAGAGGUGAUGAGUUUGCUGGGUAGAUUGAACUACAUUUGCAGGUUUAUUGCUCAACUCACAACCACGUGUGAGCCCAUUUUCAAGUUGCUGAAAAAGAGUGUCCGAUAGAGUGGACUGAAGAAUGUCAGGAAGCGUUCGACAAAAUCAAAAGAUAUCUUUCAAACCCGCCCGUGCUGGUACCACCGGAGCCAGGUAGGACUUUGAUCUUAUAUUUAUUGGUCAUGGAUAAUUCUUUCGGUUGUGUCCUGGGUCAACAUAAUGUCACGGGAAAAAAGUAGCAGGCUAUUUAUUAUCUUAGCAAGAAGUUCACAACAUAUGAGGCCAGGUACACUCUUCUUGAAAGGACGUGUUGUGCCCUAACUUGGGUAGUACAGAAGUUGAAGUACUAUCUUCGUCCUACACUACUUAUCUCAUCUCCUGUAUGGAUCCUUUAAAGUAUAUCUUUCAGAAGACUAUGCCGAUCGACCGUUUGGCAAAGUGGAAACUAUUGCUUACCGAGUUCGACAUCGUAUAUGUGACUCAAACCGCCAUGAAAGCCCAAGCCUUGGCAGAUCAUCUUGCUGAGAAUCCUAUUAAUGAAGAGUACGAGCCAUUAAAGACAUAUUUCCCUAAUGAAGAAGUGUUGUGUGUCGAUGAAGUCGUUAUAGAUGCUGAUCCAGGUUGGAAGUUGUUCGUCGAAGGAGCUGUCAACAUGAAAGGAAUCAUAAUAGGUGCAGUUCUUAUCUCUGAGGUGGGGCAACAUUUCCCGGUAACAGCGCAACUUUGAUUUUAUUGUACCAAUAACAUGGAGGAAUAUGAAGCUUGUAUUUUGUGUUUGAGACUAGCUGUUGAUAUGGGAGUCCAAGAACUAUUAGUGUUGGGGGAUUCAGAUUUUCUCGUCUAUCAGAUUCAAGGUGAAUAGGAGACAUAAGAUUUAAAGCUCAUACCGUAUCGGCAAUGCUUGCAAGAUCUAUGUCAACGGUUUGUGUCAGUAAAGUUUAGGCAUACUCCAAGGAUUCAUAAUGAGAUUGUUGAUGCUUUAGCCACUCUGUCUUCAAUGCUCCAACAUCCUGAUAAAGCCUAUAUCGAUCCAGUGCAUAUACAGAGUCAUGAUUAACACGCUUAUUGUAAUGUAGUUGAAGAAGAGCUCGAUGGAUAACCUUGAUUCUUUGAUAUCAAGUAGUAAAUCUAGUCAGGAGAAUACCCAACACAUACCACCAAUGAUCAAAAGAGGACUAUUAGGCGUUUGGCUAGUGGAUUUUUCUUAAGUGGAGGAUUCUUAUACAAAAGAACCCCAGAUUUGGGACUUUUGAGGUGUGUUGAUACAAAAAAAGCUUCGACAAUCAUGGUUGAAGUUCAUUCUGGAGUAUACGGCCUCAUAUGAAUGGUUAUGUCUUGUUUAAGAAGAUUCUCAGAGCAGGUUAUUAUUGGCUUACUAUGGAGAGGGAUUCUAUUUGUUUUGUUCAGAAAUAUCAUCAAUGUCAGGUACACUGUGAUUUGAUACAUUCUCCUCCCACUGAAUUACAUGCAAUAUCUGCUUCAUGGACUUUCGUAGCUUUGGGGAUGGACGUGAUCGGGCCGAUUGAGCCGAAAGCGUCAAAUGGGCAUAGAUUCAUUUUGGUGGCCAUUGAUUACCUUACAAAAUGGGUAGAAGCAGUAACUUUCAAGUCAGUGCCAAAGAAGGCGGUAGUAGAUUUUGUUCAUGCCAACAUCAUUUGUAGGUUUGGAAUUCCUAAGAUGAUCAUUACAGACAAUGCUGCCAAUCUCAAUAGUCAUUUGAUGCAAGAAGUGUGUCAACAGUUUAAGAUCGCACAUCGAAAUUUCACUCCAUAUCAUCCGAUGUCUAAUGGCGUUGUGGAAGCCACCAAUAAGAAUAUCAAGAAGAUACUGCGGAAAAUAGUACAAGGGUCUAGACAAUGGCAUGAGAAGUUGUCGUUUGCAUUGCUAGGUUAUCGCACUACUGUUCGUACUUCAACAGGGGCAACUCCAUAUUUAUUGGUGUAUGGGACAGAAUCAGUCAUUCCUAUAGAAUUUGAAAUUCCCUCUCUUCGAUUCAUUGCGGAAGCAGAGAUUGAUGAUGACGAAUGGUUCAAAACCCGACUAGAACAAUUGAGUUUGAUUGAGGAAAAAAGCAUUGGUAUGUCAUGGCCAAUUGUAUCAAAAGAGAAUGGCUCGAGCAUAUAACAAAAAGGUACGAUCCAGGCAUCUUGAAGUUGGUCAGUUGGUAUUGAAGCGUAUCCUUCCUCACCAGGUUGAAGCGAAAGGCAAGUUCUCCCCAAACUGGCAAGGUCCCUUCAUUGUGAAGAAAGUGUUGCCCAAUGGAGCCUUAUAUUUGACAAAUAUUGAAGGCAAAAUGGUAGAAAUGGCUAUCAAUGCUGAUGCGGUCAAAAGAUAUUAUCUAUGAUAUUUUAUCCUUUGUUGAUUUUAUUGCAUAUUUAGUACUUGCAUUUUUGAAGAUUGAUAUGAUGAAGGCAUUUUAUUCUUCUAUCCAAACAUUGUGUCAUCCUUUGUUUACCCGUUUGAGCUUAGUUUAAUUUUUUCUUUCAUAUCCCUCUUUUAAAAUCAAAAUAUGAGUCAAAGAUAGAUAUUAGGAAAGUAAGAAUAAAAGAAAGAGAUCGAAAAUAAAAAAAGAGAAGAAAAAAAAUCAAAUCAAAACAAAGAACAAGCUAAUAGAACUACGUGUGACCUGAUUCUCCUCUCU